UACGUAGGAGGCUAGCGUUGUCCGGAUUUAUUGGGCGUAAAGAGCGUGUAGGCGGCCAGGUAGGUCUGGUGUGAAAACUCGAGGCUUAACCUCGAGAUGUCAUCGGAAACCAUCUGGCUAGAGUCCGGAAGAGGAGAGUGGAAUUCCUGGUGUAGCGGUGAAAUGCGCAGAUAUCAGGAAGAACACCAAUGGCGAAAGCAGCUCUCUGGGACGGUACUGACGCUGAGACGCGAAAGCGUGGGGAGCGAACAGG
rnacentral:rRNA from 1 species